GGUUUUAUGGUGUAAUGGUUAGCACAUCGGAUUCUGAUUCCGGGGAUCUGGGUUCGAUUCCCAGUAAAACCU
rfam:Phialocephala scopiformis strain CBS 120377 unplaced genomic scaffold LY89scaffold_39, whole genome shotgun sequence.